UAAAUAACUACUUUGAAAAGGAUAAAGUUAAUAUAUAUAUAUUUACCUUUUGCAUAAUGGUUUAAUAAAAAGUAUAAAGAUUAGUAAUCCCGAAAUUAGAAGAUCUAUAUUAUAUAAUAUAUUAGAAAAGUGAUUAUAAUGUUUCAAAAUUAUAAGUAAAUUUAAUAUAGGAGUGAAAGGCUUACCAAUUCUAAUGAUAUCUGGAAUAAUUUUAAAUGUAUUUAGUACAAAAUAUAUAUUUGAAUAAAAAAAUGUUAAGGGUUUUUUAUUAAAUAGGAUAAUAAAUUUAUAUUAUUAUGAAUUAAUCUUCUUAUAUUUUAUAUAUUUGAAAAUAAAUUAUUAUUAAAUCUAUCUUUAUAAAAUUAUAUUUUAAUAAUUUUUUAGAAAAUAAACUAUGUUAAAAUUAGUAUAAUAAAUAUAUUAUUGUUAGGAACUCGGCAAAAUUUUAUUCAACUGUUUAUCAAAAACAUAGCUUUAUGUAAUUAUAUAAAGUGAAACCUGCCCAGUGAAAAAUUUAACGGCCGCAGUACCUUGACUGUGCUAAGGUAGCAUAAUAAAUUGACUUUUAAUUGAGGCCUAGAAUGAAAGGGAUAAUGGAUAAUAGCUGUCUUAUAAUAAUUAAUUAAAAGUUACUUAAAAGGUGAAAAUUCCUUUUUAUAUAUAAUAGACGAGAAGACCCUAGGAGUUUAUAAUUUUGUUGGGGCGACAAUAUAGCAUAUAACCUAUAUUAACUGAUUUUUAUAAAGAAUAAUAUUAAUUUAAAUUAAACUACCCUAGGGAUAACAGCAUAAUUUAUUUUAAGUUUGUGACCUCGA
rnacentral:rRNA from 1 species